AACAAAAACAUGACUUUUUCCUUUUUUAAUACAGGUUUACCUGCUAAUGCAAAUUUAGAAGAAUUUAACAAAGUCAGUAAAAAUGUUGAAGGCUUUUCACCGAAACCAAUGACUGUUUUGGCCUCUUUAUUCAAAGUACAAGAUGAUGUCACAAAACUGGAUUUGAGAUUGAAAAUUUCAAAAGAGGAGAAAAAUCUGGGUUUAUUUAUAGUUAAAAACAGGAAAGAUUUGAUUAAAGCAACAGAUAGUUCAGAACCAUUGAAACCAUAUCAAGACUUUGUUAUAGAUGUAAGUAUGUGUUAAGUUUGAUCAGAAAAUAGUUCUCACUGGAGAGAAGUAAUUUUUUAAACUGUAGAUUUGAUGUAAGUAUUUAAAUAGUAGAAUGAAGUUGUAAGUGCUUAGUAUGUGAUAAAACUGUGUCACUUAGUCUAGGGAACCGGAUGCAACUGCCCGUGUUUGUGAGCUGCUGAAGUACCAAGGAGAGCAUGCUCUUCUCAAGGAGAUGCAGCAGUGGUCUGUGCCGCCAUUCCCUGUGAGUGGACACGACAUCAGAAAAGUGGGCAUUUCU
rnacentral:lncRNA from 1 species